UACGUAGGGUGCAAGCGUUGUCCGGAAUUAUUGGGCGUAAAGAGCUCGUAGGCGGUUUGUCGCGUCGAAUGUGAAAACCCGGGGCUCAACCCCGGGCCUGCAUUCGAUACGGGCAGACUAGAGUUCGGUAGGGGAGUCUGGAAUUCCUGGUGUAGCGGUGAAAUGCGUAGAUAUCAGUCGGAACACCGGUGGCGAAGGCGGCUUCUUGGGCCCUACCUGACGCUGAGGCGCGAAAGCCAGGGGAGCGAACGGG
rnacentral:rRNA from 1 species